AUGAAACACUGCUGCCGGCUACAUCCACUAUCACCCGGCACAGUUGGGCUACCAUACCCCUUCUGUCUCCAAAACAGGUCUGGUGGGGUUUUAAGAAGUCAGCUUUCUCUCGUGUCACCUGUUCUAAAAUCUAUUUGUGUGCUGGCCGCCCCUUGUCUCACCCUGAAUUCUUCUGUACACUUAAACAUUCUUCUUCAUACUGCAGCUGGAAAGGGCCCCUCGGAUCAAAUUGGAUGUAUGACUCCAACUCCUUUCCAUGUACAUCACUGGAACCAGGGCUGCCGACAUCCAGGAAGGGCUCCAGAGUGCAGAAUGACCUCCUGCCAUUACAGAACUGCUGAGAAGGCACCCCUUCCUCUGCGAGCCCUGCCCUUCCACUUGACCUUCUCAGCCCAGCUUGAAUGUGGAUGGACAUCCUCGUCACCAUGGCAGUGCCACCAGAUCUGACCCAAAUACUUCGGGCUUGCUCCAAUCUGUCUUUUAAGAAACAGGCACAAUAUAAUUUUACUCUUGUGUCAAAAUGGUAGAGCUGGGCUGGGGAUUUAGCUCAGUGGGUCUGCCGCCUGCCACACAAGCGCAAGGACCCAAGUUGGAUUCCAGUACCAAAAAAAAAAAAAAAAAAAAAAAAAAAAAAGAUAGAACUCAGUUAAAAAAAUCAUACCGAGUCUGUGAAAAACAAACCCUAAAAUUAUUUAUGAAACUUCUGCCUUCAGCUUGCAAGUUUACAAUACAAAUGUGGACUGAGCUCCCCUUUUUUUUAGGGAAUACCACUUGGCACAGGUGGUAAGAUGUGAUUCUGCCCUCAAAGAGCUCAUGCAUCGCUAUUGCUUUUGUAAGAAGAAGGAAGUGCCCAAUCAACAUGCCCACAAGGUGCCAUUGUGUCAGAGAAUGAGAAGAGCGUGGCACCCGUUAGUCCAGGGUAACCUCACCAAGCGCCAAGCCUGGUGCUCAGCCUUAGGGUGCGCUGGGAAGGAGAGGGCAUGCGGGCUGAUGAGGACAGCAGAGGCAGAAGGGCGGCCUGUAUGGGGAAAGUCUGGAAGGCAAGCUGGAGUCGGCUGGUGCCUCUGAACUUGACACUGACAGCUGAUUCUACUCUGCUGCUGAGCUGGGGGUGCAAUUCAGAGAGGAGAACUCCUGGAAGGGCAAGCAGUGGCAGGGAGGUGCCUGAGAAGAAAAGGACUGGAAAGCUUCCAGGGGUCAGGAAGGAAAAGUACAGGGACACAGUCAUUUGCCAGGUUCGCGCAGAACAUCAGAAGUGGAAGCAAAGCCAAGUGUUUCUGCCCUCUCAGGCAUAGGGCUUCCUUCUCUGAUACUAAUUCUCCAAAGGCACUGCUGACUUCCAUUCUCGGCCUCUGUCUAGAACACAGACUCAGCUGAAGCAGAAGUGACUGCCGAGUGUGCAGAGCAAAUGCACACUAUCAUUCAGUCGCUGUAGGCACUUCUGAUGAUGCAGGCACACUGUGAGGCAUAACUUGUAUCCUUCAAUUCAUGGCCACAGUGAACUUGGGAUGCACAAUGCUGCUCACAGACCUUCUCCACACAAGAGGUGUUGGCCCCACCCCAGCAGCCCGACCCAGCUCCAAUGCUAGUGCAGAAUGAGCAGAGUCUCAGGCUACAAUCAGGUUCUCAGUCUCCCUCCCUUUCAAGUUUUUAUCAUUCUAUUCUGUUCUUUCUACUUAAAAAUGAUUGUUCGGUACUAGUAGAAGCAUAAGCUGCUUCUUCAAAGAAGCACCAACUAGCAUCUGCUCUUGUGCAAGAAGGCCUCAAGGUCUCGAGAGGGAAGUCAUUUCUGCCCUUAUCUCAAAGUAAAAAUACUGACUCCCAGGGCAGAGGAUUUAGCUCAGUGGUACCACACCUGUCUUGGGAGCGCAAGGUCCUGAGUUCAAUC
ensembl:lincRNA